rnacentral:rRNA from 1 species
GUGGGGAAUAUUGGACAAUGGGCGAAAGCCUGAUCCAGCCAUGCCGCGUGUGUGAAGAAGGUCUUCGGAUUGUAAAGCACUUUAAGUUGGGAGGAAGGGCAGUAAGUUAAUACCUUGCUGUUUUGACGUUACCGACAGAAUAAGCACCGGCUAACUUCGUGCCAGCAGCCGCGGUAAUACGAAGGGUGCAAGCGUUAAUCGGAAUUACUGGGCGUAAAGCGCGCGUAGGUGGUUUUGUAAGUUGGAGGUGAAAUCCCCGGGCUCAACCUGGGAACUGCCUCCAAAACUGCAUGACUAGAGUACGGUAGAGGGUAGUGGAAUUUCCUGUGUAGCGGUGAACUGCGUAGAUAUAGGAAGGAACACCAGUGGCGAAGGCGACUACCUGGACUGAUACUGACACUGAGGUGCGAAAGCGUGGGGAGCAAACAGGAUUAGAAACCCGGGUAGUCC